AGAGGAAGUCAACACGAUUUAGAAAAGGAUACUCUUAGCGCUCAGUUAGUUGGAACGCAAACUCCUCAGAAAUUUCUCUAUCAUUUUCUCUCGACCCUCUUUGUUUAAACCAUGGACUGUAUCAUUAACUGCAAUUCAAACCCUAAGUCGAGAGUGUCGUCUAUAAUCUUCGCCUCUCGGUUGCAAGAUCUUGAAGAAUUUGACGACGUACGAUGGAUCCGAGCACCUCCUCCACCGCAAACAACGAAAACACGAAGAAGAGAUCAGUCUCUUCAGAGGAAGAAGCUCAAGAGGUUCAAAAUGGCUCAAAGAGAAUUUGUCCCGACUCAUCUCCUCUACCGACAAGUUUUGGGGUUCUUACCUCUAGGUGUUCCGAAGUUAUUUGGAAAGAACAUGGACCUCAAAUUCUCCUACAGGUACUCAAGGAAAUGGAGAAGAAGCAGACUUUCGCCGGCCUUUACUCUCUUCCAACAUCACCAAGCUGCUAUGGACCUGACAGUACACCACUUGAGCUUGCGAUUGGAGUAGUAGUUAACCGUUUCAUCGUUAAAGAGGGGCCAACAUUGGAACAUGAAUCUCGCCAACAAGUAAGCAAGGAAUUAAAUGAGAUUGCAUACAAUCAAACUUCUUCCACAAACAUUAAGCAAUCAACAUGAGGGAGGACCUGGAAGUGGAACAUGGAAACUCAGAUUACGUUUCUGCAAUAAAAUUGCCAACGUCAUGUACCACAAGGAUAAGAUAAAGGCUAUAGAUGAGGAGCCAUUGAAAUUUGAAAUUUGUGAUGCCUACCACAACACUAUCAUCCCUACCGGUUUAUUAUUGUCUGCUCCGGUCCAGUUCUUCCUCUUCCAACAACAAAAUGAUUCUAAAACACUUCCAACUCUUGUUUCAGCCGAUAAACUAAUUGAGUUGAUGUCUUUCAAUGUUCUCCAACAACAUCGCCUAGAAAAUGGAAUUGGCUAUGUCAAAGAUCUUAUUGUCAAUCCCCAUUCGUAUUGGAUAUCUAAGAAGUUUUUUUUAGUAGUCAAAGUUGUGGAUGAACAGAUUUUAAUGAAGACUGGUGCCACCAUUGAAGAUGCCAUUUCUGAACCUUUUACAGUUAAGACUAAACGAAUGAAAGGGUUGAAAAAGCAUAACCCCCCAACUAAGGAAAGUGAAGUAUGGUGGCUAGUUGGGAUCAGCAAAAGAGGUGUAUAUCACAGAAUCUUAUCGGAAGAUCAAGGCAUAACAAAUGUGGGAGAUUUCUUGAGGAGAUAUCACGAAAUGGGCUCUCAAGCUUUGAAAAAGAUUCUUGGAGAGAAAAUGUCGAUAGAGUUGUGGAAAAAGAUUGUUGAGCAUGCUAAGCAAUGUGUUGGUUAUGAUCCAACUCAUUAUCGUCAAAUCUUACAGGCUAAUGAUUGUCAUGCCGAUAGCAAUCAUAACUCAGAAGUUCAUAAUUCUCAAAAUCAAAGUGUUGAGACCAAUCAUUUUGGGGAAGCUGAGGUGGAAGCUAAUGAUUCCAACCAGAAUUUUAAAACUCAUCAGCAAAAUCAAAAUCUUCAUGAGGUCAAAGGUUUAUAUAUUGGUAUAAUCUUAUACUAAGUUCAUAUUAUAUCAGGUAAAUAAUUGGGUGGAAAGUGAAGGAGAAGGUAAUUCAUUGUAAUAACAAUUUAGAAGUUUGUGCAGGAAAAGAAAUAUGGUGACAGUUGUUUUGAAGAAUGGUCUGCUGAAAAGGUGUUGGCUAUAUUACUGUAGAAUUGUAAGCUAGAUCAUUUCCAUUUGGGUUAUAUUAGAAGCAACUUCAAGUCCAUAUGAUGUGAGAUAUACUUGGACACUCCCAAGAAAACUUAGACCAAAUAUGAGAAAGCUUCCGUUUCAGAAUCAAUUUUGUUUGUUUAUUUGGUUUUGAUGUGAAAUUGCUUUGAUCUGCAUUGUGUGUUAGUGUUCAAAUUGUGUCAAUUUAUGGAUUAUAUAUCAAUAAUAUAAAUUAAAGUAUAUUACUAGCUCA